UACGGAGGGUGCAAGCGUUGUUCGGAAUUACUGGGCGUAAAGGGCUCGUAGGCGGCUAAGUAAGUCAGACGUGAAAUCCCUCGGCUUAACCGGGGAACUGCAUCUGAUACUGGAUGGCUUGAGUUCGGGAGAGGGAUGCGGAAUUCCAGGUGUAGCGGUGAAAUGCGUAGAUAUCUGGAGGAACACCGGUGGCGAAGGCGGCAUCCUGGACCGGCAUUGACGCUGAGGAGCGAAAGCCAGGGGAGCAAACGGG
rnacentral:rRNA from 1 species